rnacentral:rRNA from 1 species
AGUAACUGCGAGUGAAGCGGGAAAAGCUCAAAUUUAAAAUCUGGCAGUCUUUGACUGUCCGAAUUGUAUUCUGGAGAAGCGUUUUCCGCGCUGGACCGUGUACAAGUCUCUUGGAAUAGAGCGUCAUAGAGGGUGAGAAUCCCGUCUUUGACACGGACUACCAGUGCUUUGUGAUGCGCUCUCAAAGAGUCGAGUUGUUUGGGAAUGCAGCUCAAAAUGGGUGGUGAAUUCCAUCUAAAGCUAAAUAUUGGCGAGAGACCGAUAGCGAACAAGUACCGUGAGGGAAAGAUGAAAAGCACUUUGGAAAGAGAGUUAAACAGUACGUGAAAUUGCUGAAAGGGAAACGCUUGAAGUCAGUCGCGUCAUCCGGAACUCAGCCAGGCUUCUGCCUGGUGUACUUUCUGGUUGACGGGCCAGCAUCAGUUUUGACCGCUGGAAAAAGGCCAUGGGAAUGUGGCACCUUCGGGUGUGUUAUAGCCCGUGGUCAUAUACAGCGGUUGGGACUGAGGACCGCAGCACGCCUUUAUGGUUGGGGUUCGCCCACAAUCGUGCUUAGGAUGCUGGCGUAAUGGCUUCAAACGACCCGUCUUGAAACACGGACCAAGGAGUCUAACAUGCCUGCGAGUGUUUGGGUGGAAAACCCGAGCGCGCAAUGAAAGUGAAAGUUGGGAUCCCUGUCGUGGGGAGCACCGACGCCCGGACCAGACCUUUUGUGACGGAUCCGCGGUAGAGCAUGUGUGUUGGGACCCGAAAGAUGGUGAACUAUGCCUGAAUAGGGUGAAGCCAGAGGAAACUCUGGUGGAGGCUCGUAGCGAUUCUGACGUGCAAAUCGAUCGUCAAAUUUGGGUAUAGGGGCGAA